UACGUAGGGUGCGAGCGUUGUCCGGAUUUAUUGGGCGUAAAGGGCGCGUAGGCGCCCGUCAAGUCCGCUGUGAAAGCCCGAGGCUCAACCUCGGAGGGUCAGCGGAGACGGGCGGGCUGGGGUGUCGGAGAGGAGCAUGGAAUCCCUGGUGUAGCGGUGGAAUGCGUAGAGAUCAGGGGGGAACACCGAUGGCGAAGGCAGUGCUCUGGCCGACCACCGACGCUGAGGCGCGAAAGCUGGGGGAGCGAACGGG
rnacentral:rRNA from 1 species